GUACACUCCUGCGGGAGGCAGCAGUGGGGAAUUUUGGACAAUGGGCGAAAGCCUGAUCCAGCCAUGCCGCGUGCAGGAUGAAGGCCUUCGGGUUGUAAACUGCUUUUGUACGGAACGAAACGGCCUUUUCUAAUAAAGAGGGCUAAUGACGGUACCGUAAGAAUAAGCACCGGCUAACUACGUGCCAGCAGCCGCGGUAAUACGUAGGGUGCAAGCGUUAAUCGGAAUUACUGGGCGUAAAGCGUGCGCAGGCGGUUAUGUAAGACAGUUGUGAAAUCCCCGGGCUCAACCUGGGAACUGCAUCUGUGACUGCAUAGCUAGAGUACGGUAGAGGGGGAUGGAAUUCCGCGUGUAGCAGUGAAAUGCGUAGAUAUGCGGAGGAACACCGAUGGCGAAGGCAAUCCCCUGGACCUGUACUGACGCUCAUGCACGAAAGCGUGGGGAGCAAACAGGAUUAGAUACCCUUGUAGUCCCAUG
rnacentral:rRNA from 1 species